CACACACACACACACACACACACACACACACAGACACACUGUCUUUCUGUCUCUUGCAUGUUCUUUCUCUUCAUAGGGACCCUCAGGAGAACCAGGACCUGCGGGUCAACAAGGGAACCCUGGAAUUCAGGGCUUUCCAGGUUCGCAGGGUCCCAUUGGGCUGCCUGGAGAGAAGGGUCCACAGGGGAAGUCUGGCAUGCAGGGCCUUCCCGGGAUUGAUGGGCCACUGGGUCAUCCAGGAAGAGAGGGACCUCCUGGAGAGAAAGGACUGUCGGUGGGUCAGACUGAACGUGUGUGUGUGUGUGUGUGUGUGGUGUGUGUGUGUGUGUGUGCGUGCGUGCGCACGUGCGUGCGUGCGUGCGUGCGUGUAUGUGUGCGUGUGUGUUUGUGCCUCUUUCUGAGCCCUGGGGAGAGA
rnacentral:lncRNA from 1 species